GUUCCUGCACUUUAUGUUUCUUAAAUUUUCCUUUUGCUAACACUAGGUUUAUUUGGAGUCAUAGUGGUGUGUAAUGCUACAAUUGAUGCUUUUUGAAAAAAGAUUAAAUUUGAUUUCCCGAAAGAAUGAGAUGUUGUAGUUAACAAAGGACUUUAAGCUCUGCUUUUUCGAGAUUGUUUCUAUUAUUAUCGGCCUACUUUUUCCGGUAGGUAGUCACUCUAUUUACUAAUACGCUAUGAUGAUACUUUUGUUUAAUGUAAUAUGUGAUUAAAUUAUUAUUUUUGUGGAUUACUGUUGGACUAUAUACCUUGAAGGUUCUUAUAUUAGAAUUAUUAGUUUAAAGGUGAGAUACAUAAAAGUGUGCAUGUUUGUGCAUGCACUUCAAAUGAUGCAUGUGCUUAUGUUCUAUUAGACGGACGACAAAUUAUUUAUAUAUUUUAAUCUAGCUGCUAGGAUAUAAUGAAUAAGUUACUCUUUUGGUUUAAAGGGAAAAAAAGGGAUGCUUGGUAGGGAUAGCUUGCAACAGAGAGAAUAGAGGGGUGUUUGGUAGGGGUGGCUUGCAACGAAGAGAAUAAUGCAAUGACAAUUUUCAGUUAGGAGGGGUUCAUUUGAAGCUAAAGCUAUUUGAGCAGUGGGAUCAUAGAGUAAUCAUCAUAAGUUGUCGCAAUUAGAAAGCUAUCUAUUUUGAACUAUGAGGAAAAAGAAAAUGCCCACCAACCAUUCCAACAGCAACAAUGAUGGACAUCACUGAAGAAGCAAGCGCAAGGUUGUGGACGUCGGCUUAGAAGGAAGAAAUCAACAAAACCUACCCAGCAAAGACAGACCUUCUAGCAGUUAACAGAAAACUGAAAUCAGGGCCCCCUACUGUGUCUCAAGAAGCUUUUGAAGCAAAGACAUCAAACUGCUAUCUUUGCCACAUUGCACUGCCUAUUUUGAAAGCUGGAUUAAAGAAAAACAAGAAUAUAUGCGGCACACAAUGUUUUAAAAAGACACAGUCACAGCUACAAACAGCAACUGCGAAGAACAUGACUGCCAACAAAAUAGGAGCCGACUAUUGUGCCUUUCGCCAAUACCAGCUUAUGUGAAUGUGUAAAUAAUGUGCAUAUAUGCAUAGACAAUACAAUCAUGAAUGUAUAUAUAUCAACAUUCUAAACAAUAUGUUUCAGCAGAAACAGUUCAAAUAAAAUGCUUGGACUAUCCAGUCUGCAUAACAA